CAGCCGUAAACUAUGCGCGUUAGGUGUACUGGUGACCACGAGUCACCGGGGUGCCGAAGGGAAACCGUGAAACGUGCCGCCUGGGAAGUACGGUCGCAAGGCUGAAACUUAAAGGAAUUGACGGGGGAGCACCACAACGGGUGGAGCCUGCGGUUUAAUUGGACUCAACGCCGGAAAUCUCACCGGAUAGGACAGACAUAUGAUAGUCGGGCUGAAGACUCUACUUGAUGAUCUGAGAGGUGGUGCAUGGCGUCAGUGACU
rnacentral:rRNA from 1 species